rnacentral:rRNA from 1 species
UUUGGUGGCGAUAGCGAAGAGGUCACACCCGUUCCCAUGCCGAACACGGAAGUUAAGCUCUUCAGCGCCGAUGGUAGUCGGGGGUUUCCCCCUGUGAGAGUAGGGCGCCGCCAAGC